AUACUACUCUCUCCGCCCGGAAAUACUUACUGGAGAAAUGGAUGUAUCUAGAUGUAUUUUAGUUUUAGAUACAUCCAUUUUUAACCAUUUAUGCCACAAAUAAUUUUGGCCGGAGGGAGUAUGUG
rfam:Triticum aestivum genome assembly, contig: Triticum_aestivum_CS42_TGACv1_scaffold_424758_5BS